rnacentral:misc_RNA from 1 species
CAGAGUUGCAAAACUCCCAAACCACUGUGAACAUACCCGAGACGUUGCUUCGGUGGGCGGCCCCAGGGCGGGGCCAUCAGCCUAACGGUGCCCACCGGAGGACCAAAACUCUCAGUAUUCAAAUGGUAUCUCUGAGCAACAAACAAAUAAGUCA